GCUAAAAACCUAGCCCAACCACCGCAUAUGCCACUAGAUCAAUUAAACCCUUUUAAUAAACCAUUUUUAUAUUCUAGUAAAGGAGAUUGAAAAUUUUAUUGGAGCCAUAACGACAGUACCGCAAGGGAACGGUGAAAUAUUUAAUGAAAAACUUUAAGCAGAAAAAAGUAAAGACUACCCCUUGUACCUUUUGCAUCAUGGUUUAACUAGUCUAAUCAAGCGAAACGUAUUUAAGUUUGACUUCCCGAAACUAAGUGAGCUACUUCGAGGCAGCUAAAAGAGCUAACCCGUCUCUGUAGCAAAAGAGUGGGAUGACCUCCAAGUAGUGGUGACAGACCUAACGAACUUAGUGAUAGCUGGUUACUCAAGAGACGGAUCUAAGUCCAACCUGAAGCCUUAUAACUAGUUUAACAAAACAACUACUUGCUCUCAGCGUAAUUCAAAUAAGGUACAGCCUAUUUGAAACAGGAUACAACCUAAACUAAUGGAUAAGAUUAGCUUUAUAUACAACAAAGUGGGCCUAAAAGCAGCCACCUUUUAAACUGCGUCAAAGCUUAAUUGUUUUCAUGCCUAAUUUCACAAUUUUUAUCUUAAUCCCCUAUUAAUAAUGAGUAAUUCUAUACUAAUAUAGAAAAUUUUAUGUUAAAACUAGUAACAAGAAGAAGACCCUUCUCUUAAAUGCGAGUGUACAUCAGAAAGGACAAACCACUGAUAUUUAACACCUCUGAGCUUAAAGUAAUAACUUCUCAAGAAAAUUUUACUUGCACCAAUGUUAACCUAACACAAGAGCAUUCUAAGAAAGAUUAAAAGAAAAAGAAGGAACUCGGCAAAUAUUAACCUCGCCUGUUUACCAAAAACAUCGCCUCUUGAUUUUCAUAAGAGGUCCAGCCUGCCCAGUGACUCUGUUCAACGGCCGCGGUAUCCUAACCGUGCGAAGGUAGCGUAAUCACUUGUUCUUUAAAUGUGGACUAGUAUGAAUGGCACCACGAAGGUUAUACUGUCUCCUUUUUCUAAUCAGUGAAACUAAUCUCCCCGUGAAGAAGCGGGGAUAAAAAUAUAAGACGAGAAGACCCUAUGGAGCUUUAAACAAAAUAGCACUUGCCACAUAACAUACGAUUUCCUGAAUUUUUACUUCACCAAGCAAUAUGACUAUAAGUUUUUGGUUGGGGUGACCGCGGAGCACAAUGUAACCUCCACGCUGAAAGAAUACUAUUCUAAGCCAAGAUUUACGCAUCUAAGCAUCAACACAUUGACAUCCAUUGACCCAAUACAUUUGAGCAACGAACCAAGUUACCCUAGGGAUAA
rnacentral:rRNA from 1 species